rnacentral:rRNA from 1 species
AAUAGAUACCCCGGUAGUCCACGCCGUAAACGUUGGAUACUAGGUGUGGCGGUUAUACCAAUGACUGCCGUGCCGAAGCUAACGCAUUAAGUAUCCCGCCUGGGGAGUACGGCCGCAAGGCUAAAACUCAAAGGAAUUGACGGGUCCCCGCACAAGCGGCGGAGCAUGCGGCUUAAUUCGAUGCAGCCCGAAGAACCUUACCUGGGUUUGACAUCACGGGAAAAGCUGUAGAAAUACAGUGUCCGUAAGGGCCCGUGACAGGUGGUGCAUGGCUAUCGUCAGCUCGUGUCGUGAGAUGUUGGGUUAAGUCCCGCAACGAGCGCAACCCUUGUCCUAUGUUGCCAGCAGUACGGCUGGGGACUCGUAGGAGACUGCCGGGGAUAACUCGGAGGAAGGUCGAGGACGACGUCAAGUCAUCAUGCCCCUUAUAUCCAGGGCUGCACGCAUGCUACAAUGGCCGGUACAACGGGCAGCGACCCCGCGAGGGUGAGCGAAUCCUAUAAAGCCGGUCCCAGUUCGGAUUGAAGU